rnacentral:lncRNA from 1 species
CAAAGGGGAACCCUGAACAGCUGAAAGCUAGAAAGCCCUUAGCCAUGGUUUCCCCUCGAUUGACCUGUCCAAGGGGAUCCUCCAUCUUGCUUUGGGUUCUGGUCCUGGCCUGGGCCACAGUGGGUCAUGGGGAGGAUGUCCUGGACAGCCAGCACCUGGAGGAGGGCACGGAGGAAGGCUGGAAGGUGUCCCGUUUCUUCUGGAAGGCAGUGGAGCCCUUGCUGACCAAGGCCACGGAGAGCUGGAACUGGAUCCGGACACCCGGAACUGUGCGAGGCUAUCUGCAGACUUAUUAUGAAGAACAUGUCAAUGGGCUGGGCCUUCGAGCCCAGAACUGGGUCCACACAUCACGGGAGAAAGUUCAAAGGCUCUGUCUCUCGAGGUUUCUGUGGAAAUCCUUAGAGCCCCGG